AUGGAAACUCCUAUCUUACGUCUACAAAGCAUUGUUGCUACCUGCUUGAGCUCCAGUGCCGCCUCCUGGGUGAUUGGGACCAUCCUCCGCAUCCUGUAUGGACUGGGGCUCUUCCUCCUGUUCUUCCCCCCCUCCCCCAAGAGGAAUUCGCCCUCACAACCAACUGACAAAAGGAGAAACGUCAGGAAGCGUCAAGUGGAGCCGAGAGGGAGGAGCAGCAGGAGCAGGAAGAAAAGGGGAGCUUUGAAAGCUUACAGAGCUGGCCGGAAGGACCUGGCAGAAGUGGGGGGCCUGAGGUCCCUUUCGCCAAGCUCCCCGGGGAGGCUGUCUUGUAAGGGGUGCUUCCAUCGCUUGACAUCUCAAGCCUCCCCUGGGGAGGCGUGCAAGACAGCGUCUGCUAGAGUCCGCCAGCCACGCGGGAAGCCCGUGCAAGGUGCUCCUCUCACCACGGCUCCAGCACUUUCCCUGGCUCUUCUCACCCACACCCCUAUACCUCUGGCCUCCACCCUGCCGGCGGAACCUCCAGCUGACUUGACCAGAAUCCCACCGGACACUACUGCCAUGAGCACAGCUCCAGCUCACUCGUGUUGGCCAUUUCCCAACUCAGGCCACGGCCGCGUGAGCUGUCGCGUUGAAACGUUCCUCUCGCGCUGGAACACGAUCCAGGUCUUGUUCUUCCCCGUGCCGGCGCACUUCCAGUCCCAGCAAGGGCACCUGUCCUGCCACCGACCAGUGGCCUCAUUCCGGGGAGGCCCCACACACAGGGAGGGAGAGACCGACAGCCCCUCAGUCGCCAACCCUGACGCGCCAGAAGCUGCUCGAGAUGGAAAUCAGGAAAAGAACACAGACGAAGGCCUGGGAGAAAGAAGAACAAGACGCCCCAGGCAGCCCUCAGAUGCUCGAAGCACCCAGUAUCAUGUCUGGGCCGAAUGUCCGCUGGCGCCCACCCUUCCCGUCCUUGGAGUCGGCUGAGCUGAACGCAAGUGAGGCUCAACCCUUGGCCCUUCCACGGUCUACUUUUCCCUCCUCUGCCACCCGUGAUUCCGGCACCCGCUUGAAGGCCGACAGUGCAGAGUUCUCGGGAAAACCUCUUGAGCCCCACCCAGGAGAGAAACAAAAGACUUUGACCACAAAAGCAUCAGUUCCGCGCCUGGCCCCUCCCCUCCCUUCAACUUCCCCUGUGAGUGAGGAAAACCAGAAGGCCCCGGGAGGGACCCUACCUGGCAAUGGCUGUGGGCCCUCCGAGCCUCUCUGAUGGGACAGCAGGGCCGGCCGCCUUCUCCGAGCUUCGCAUUCAGCCUCUCGGACAGAAAUGG
rnacentral:lncRNA from 1 species